ACUCAAAGGAAUAGACGGGGGCCCGCACAAGCGGCGGAGCAUGCGGAUUAAUUCGAUGCAACGCGAAGAACCUUACCAAGGCUUGACAUCACCUAGAAUCAUGCAGAGAUGUGUGCGCCUUUUAGGCUGGGUGACAGGUGGUGCAUGGUUGUCGUCAGCUCGUGUCGUGAGAUGUUGGGUUAAGUCCCGCAACGAGCGCAACCCUUGUCUCAUGUUGCCAGCACGUUAUGGUGGGGACUCAUGGGAGACUGCCGGGGCCAACUCGGAGGAAGGUGGGGAUGACGUCAAAUCAUCAUGCCCCUUAUGUCUUGGGCUUCACGCAUGCUACAAUGGCCGGUACAACGGGUUGCGAUGCCGUAAGGCGGGGCGAAUCCCUAAAAGCCGGUCUCAGUUCGGAUUGGGGUCUGCAACUCGACCCCAUGAAGUCGGAGUCGCUAGUAAUCGCAGAUCAGCAACGCUGCGGUGAAUACGUUCCCGGGCCUUGUACACACCGCCCGU
rnacentral:rRNA from 1 species